GCUGUGGCAUUUAAAUUCUGAGCGCCCCUUCAUCAAGGUGACGCGCAGACACCGCCGCCGCCGCCGCCUCCCUCCCUCCCAUACUCUUCUCAGCCAGCGUUUUGGGUUUGGAGAGCUGGGCCGUCGAGCCAGUAUGCGCCCAAGCGCUCAACCUGGAGCAGCCGCCGCGGGAACAACAGCAGUAAGAACAGAAAGCACUGAGCGGCCGCCGGAGGGGGCUGCUCCAGCGUGGAUUGAAGGACACAGAGACUGCAGAUUUCUUUUCUUGGGACCUUUGGAACAUUGGGACUGAAAUCCACCAGAAGUGUACCUUUUCUUGAUUUCUCCACACCAACAUUUCUUUCCAAGACAUGGUUCGCAAAGAGAAUAAACACAGUGACUUAAUAUAAAUAUACAUUUUAUCUGUCUGCAUAACUGCAGCAAUCCGCCUAAGGAGCCCUUGCUUUUUAUCUUUUGCAGAAUAUUUUUCUUUCAUAUAUAUAUGCGUGCAAGAGACAAACUCACAGUGUUUUUAAUAGUUUUUAAUAGCACUAAAGCAGUAUUUUUGUGUAUUUUAAUUCUAAUAUAUGGUAUGUAUUAAACGGAGGAAAUGCUUACUUUCUUUUUUAAUAAGGAUCAAAGAUAUUCUAAGUUAUGGGAAGAAUUGUAACAAUGCCAUUUUGGGGGAUGGGGGAGAAAAGGAGGUAAAAGAUUUCAGCAGCUUUCUUCCAAUAAAUGUUUUUUUUUUCAAGAAAAAAA